GCCGUGGAGUAUAGCUGCGCUGCAUAUGGAGACGAGACCAUCGGAGCUACUGGUUUUGGCUGGAAAGAAGAUCCCAAGUAAGAAAAACAGUGUUGAAAGUAUCAAGUCUAAAGCUUACCGUUUUCGUAAAGUGUAGAAUGACCCGCAGUUCUCCGGCAUAUCUGCGAAAAGAAAGAUCAAAUGUAAGCUUUAGACUCUCCUGUUUCUUCUCGAUUUUUGAUACCUUCCACUCUUUGAUGUCAGGUUCCACGUUGAAUCAUCAUAGCCCGUGGUGAGAGCUUUGUCCAGCAGUAUCCUAGAAAAAAAUUUACGAGGGCCGCGUCAGGCAUGACGUCCACGAGGAAACGCAAGCUACAAAAAUCGCA
rnacentral:lncRNA from 1 species